rnacentral:rRNA from 1 species
CCUACGGGUGGCAGCAGUGGGGAAUAUUGCACAAUGGGCGCAAGCCUGAUGCAGCCAUGCCGCGUGUGUGAAGAAGGCCUUCGGGUUGUAAAGCACUUUCAGCGGGGAGGAAGGCGGUGAGGUUAAUAACCUCAUCGACUGACGUUACCCGCAGAAGAAGCACCGGCUAACUCCGUGCCAGCAGCCGCGGUAAUACGGAGGGUGCAAGCGUUAAUCGGAAUUACUGGGCGUAAAGCGCACGCAGGCGGUCUGUCAAGUCGGAUGUGAGAUCCCCGGGCUCAACCUGGGAACUGCAUUCGAAACUGGCAGGCUAGAGUCUUGUAGAGGGGGGUAGAAUUCCAGGUGUAGCGGUGAAAUGCGUAGAGAUCUGGAGGAAUACCGGUGGCGAAGGCGGCCCCCUGGACAAAGACUGACGCUCAGGUGCGAAAGCGUGGGGAGCAAACAGGAUUAGAUACCCUAGUAGUC